AUUGAACGCUGGCGGCAGGCUUAACGCAUGCAAGUCGAGCGGAGAGAGGUAGCUUGCUACUGAUCUUAGCGGCGGACGGGUGAGUAAUGCUUAGGAAUCUGCCUAUUAGUGGGGGACAACAUUUCGAAAGGAAUGCUAAUACCGCAUACGUCCUACGGGAGAAAGCAGGGGAUCUUCGGACCUUGCGCUAAUAGAUGAGCCUAAGUCGGAUUAGCUAGUUGGUGGGGUAAAGGCCUACCAAGGCCACGAUCUGUAGCGGGUCUGAGAGGAUGGUCCGCCACACUGGGACUGAGACACGGCCCAGACUCCUACGGGAGGCAGCAGUGGGGAAUAUUGGACAAUGGGCGCAAGCCUGAUCCAACCAUGCCGCGUGUGUGAAGAAGGCCUUAUGGUUGUAAAGCACUUUAAGCGAGGAGGAGGCUACUUUAGUUAAUACCUAGAGAUAGUGGACGUUACUCGCAGAAUAAGCACCGGCUAACUCUGUGCCAGCCGCCGCCAUAA
rnacentral:rRNA from 1 species